rnacentral:rRNA from 1 species
AGCAGCCGCGGUAAUUCCAGCUCCAAUAGCGUAUAUUAAAGUUGUUGCAGUUAAAAAGCUCGUAGUUGAACUUCGGGGUUUACCCAUUGGUCAGGCUUAAUUGUCUGUACUGGUGAGAUAAAUCUCUACCUUCUGAGGAACUUUCAUGUCAUUAAUUUGGUGUGAUUGGAAAUCAGGACUGUUACUUUGAAAAAUUAGAGUGUUUAAAGCAGGCUAACGCCUGAAUACAUUAGCAUGGAAUAAUGAAAUAGGACGGAUUGAUUCUAUUUCGUUGGUUUCUAGGAUCACCGUAAUGAUUAAUAGGGAUAGUUGGGGGCAUUAGUAUUCAAUUGUCAGAGGUGAAAUUCUUGGAUUUUAUUGAAGACUAACUACUGCGAAAGCAUUUGCCAAGGAUGUUUUCAUUAAUCAAGAACGAAAGUUAGGGGAUCGAAGACGAUCAGAUACCGUCGUAGU